AUUCCAGCUCCAAUAGCGUAUAUUAAAGUUGUUGCAGUUAAAAAGCUCGUAGUUGGAUUUCUGGUUUGAUGCCCUGGCCCGCGGCGAUUCGCCGUGAGUGCCGGUUGUGCGUCUGCCAUCCUUCUAGAAAACGUUUCUACCCUUCACUGGGCCGGACUCGCGAUCUAGAUCUUUUACUUUGAAAAAAUUAGAGUGUUUAAAGCAGGCUUUUGCUAUGAAUACAUUAGCAUGGAAUAAUAAUCUAGGACUUCGGUUCUAUUUUGUUGGUUUCUAGUACUGAAGUAAUGAUUGAUAGGGAUAGUUGGGGGUGCUAGUAUUGAGCGGCCAGAGGUGAAAUUCUUGGAUUCGCUCAAGACUAACUUAUGCGAAAGCAUUCACCAAGGAUGUCUUCAUCG
rnacentral:rRNA from 1 species